AUUGAACGCUGGCGGCAGGCCUAACACAUGCAAGUCGAACGAGUGGCGGACGGGUGAGUAAUGUCUGGGACACUGCCUGAUGGAGGGGGAUAACUACUGGAAACGGUAGCUAAUACCGCAUACCAUCGGAGGGGCCCAGAUGGGAUUAGCUAGUAGGUGGGGUAACGGCUCACCUAGGCGACGAUCCCUAGCUGGUCUGAGAGGAUGAACAGCCACAGUGGAACUGUAACACGGGCUAGAGUCCUACGCGAGGCCGCAGUGGGGAAUAGUGCACGAUGGGCGCAAGCCUGAUGCAGCCAUGCCGCGUGUAUGAAGAAGGCCAUCGAGUUGUAAAGUACUUUCAGCGGGGAGGCGUUACCCGCAGGAGAAGCGCCGGCUAACUCCGUGCCAGCCGCCGCGGUAAGUC
rnacentral:rRNA from 1 species